UAGCUCAGUGGGUAGAGCGCUUGCCUAGCAUGCAUGAAGUUGUGGGUUCGAUCCCAGAACCCCAU
rnacentral:tRNA from 1 species